CAACAAAAAUGCAGAAAAGAAUGCAAGUCGCAGGCAUGCAGCUCAAUGAAUUCUUGUGAAAUCAUCCCCACCCUGGAGCCAGCGUGCCCCUCCUGGCUGUCACUCCCAUCUCCUGAUUGCGCUUAUCAGGGCCCGGCCAACCAGGGAGGCAGAACUACUCUGAGUGCCAAGGAAUUUUGGGGAUGUUCGCUGCAGCUGCUCGGCUUCUGCUUUUUAGAUCCUGCUCACCUUCCUGUCUCUGCCAACUCCGACCUGGGACCAAGCAGGGGAAAGUGGCCCCAGCCCAGCUUGAUGCCCCCGAAGAUGGAGACCUGUGCACCUGGUUGUUAGCAUGUUAAAGGGCGUCGCACAGGGCAUGGUCUUCAGUGCCCGGAUUCUUUCUGCUCUGCUGGAGGAGGGGCUGCUCAGUUCCUGAGGUUCAGCGACCCCCUGGCUUGGAUGGACCUUCACAAACACCUCCAGGAAAUACCUUAUCAAACAUGGUCACAUACAUGCACCGGCACACAAAAAUAACCUCUGAAAAAAGCGCUGAGAAUGGGAUUGAACUUGCUUUGGCAAAGGUCUUCAUGUGUAUUGUCAUUAGUGAAGGCUCCAAACCACCUCCGAUUUUUUCCGAGGAAAUUAAAAUGCGAGAGAUCAAGGGAUUUGCCCAAGGUCACGGCACACAAUAGACGCUGCCCCAGUCUCCAGCUUCCAGGCAAUUGCUUGCUCUGGGAAGUGGGAUGGCCUCUCCUUCCAAACUUUUUCAAAAUUUUGUAUUAUUAUUUUUUUAGAAUGAUUAAUUUUUGAGAAUAUUGUUCUAUUCUGUCACCCAGUAGCAUGCUCUCAACUCACUGCAACCUCCGCCUCCCAGGUUCAAGCGAUUCUCCUGCCUCAGCCUCCCAUGUAGCUGGGAUUACAGGGGCCCCGCACCACACCAUGCCCAGCUAAUUUAUUUAUUUAUUAUUUAUUUAUUUAGUAAACUCUGGGUUUUGCUAUGUUGGCCAGGCUGGUCGUGGACUGCUGGCCUGGGGUGAUCCGCCUGCCUCAGCCUCCCAAAGUGCUGGGAUUACAGGUGUGAGCCACCUCACCCGGCCUGUAUCACUUACUUUAAAAUAAAUUGAGGCCAGAGAAGAGAACUGACUUGCUC
rnacentral:lncRNA from 13 species